rnacentral:rRNA from 1 species
GAUGAACGCUGGCGGCGUGCCUAAUACAUGCAAGUCGAGCGAACGGACGAGAAGCUUGCUUCUCUGAUGUUAGCGGCGGACGGGUGAGUAACACGUGGAUAACCUACCUAUAAGACUGGGAUAACUUCGGGAAACCGGAGCUAAUACCGGAUAAUAUUUUGAACCGCAUGGUUCAAAAGUGAAAGACGGUAUUGCUGUCACUUAUAGAUGGAUCCGCGCUGCAUUAGCUAGUUGGUAAGGUAACGGCUUACCAAGGCAACGAGGCAUAGCCGCCCUGAGAGGGUGAUCCGCCACCCUGGAACUGAGACACGGCCCCGACUCCUACGGGAGGCCGCAGUAGGGACUCUUCCGCAAUGGGCGAAAGCCUGACGGAGCAACGCCGCGUGAGUGCUGAAGGUCUUCGGAUCGUAAAACUCUGUUAUUAGGGAAGACCAUAUGUGUAAGUAACUGUGCACAUCUUGACGGUACCUAAUCAGAAAGCCACGGCUAACUACGUG